rnacentral:rRNA from 1 species
AACGAACGCUGGCGGCAUGCCUAACACAUGCAAGUCGAACGAAGGCUUCGGCCUUAGUGGCGCACGGGUGCGUAACGCGUGGGAAUCUGCCCCUCGGUUCGGAAUAACAGUUAGAAAUGACUGCUAAUACCGGAUGAUGACUUCGGUCCAAAGAUUUAUCGCCGAGGGAUGAGCCCGCGUAAGAUUAGGUAGUUGGUGGGGUAAAGGCCUACCAAGCCGACGAUCUUUAGCUGGUCUGAGAGGAUGAUCAGCCACACUGGGACUGAGACACGGCCCAGACUCCUACGGGAGGCAGCAGUGGGGAAUAUUGGACAAUGGGCGAAAGCCUGAUCCAGCAAUGCCGCGUGAGUGAUGAAGGCCUUAGGGUUGUAAAGCUCUUUUACCAGGGAUGAUAAUGACAGUACCUGGAGAAUAAGCUCCGGCUAACUCCGUGCCAGCCGCCGCCGUAA